rnacentral:rRNA from 1 species
UACGUAGGUGGCAAGCGUUGUCCGGAAUUAUUGGGCGUAAAGGGCGCGUAGGCGGCCCUCCAAGUCAGAUGUGAAAGCCCCGGGCUUAACCUGGGAAUAGCAUUUGAGACUGAAGGGCUUGAGUUUCGGAGAGGUGGGUGGAAUUCCCAGUGUAGAGGUGAAAUUCGUAGAUAUUGGGAAGAACACCGGUGGCGAAGGCGGCCCACUGGACGAACACUGACGCUGAGGCGCGAAAGCGUGGGGAGCAAACAGG